GCAUUGUUCCCAUAUAUAAAGGUUUUAUUACAACGUAUGUACACACAAAAAAAGAAUGGUUCUGUGGUUACAAAGUAAAGCAUAUAUUCUCGACAAUACACUCAAACAGAAAAGAACAAAAAUGAAAGAAAAAGUUGUGGUAGCCGGUAACUUGUUCUUUUGCAACUUGUGACUCCUUUUGUAAUGUUCUGCCAUCUACAAAGCUGUACCACAUGUCUUUUGCAACUUGCCCUGAAAACAACGAAGUUAACAAGCAUGGACAAUAUAUAAACAAUUAUUGAUAACAUGACACAACACAUGACAAAGAUUAUAGAGAAUAUCAUUGAUAACAUGAAAAAGCCUUUAUAGAAAAUAACAGAGAAUAUCAAACAAACAUAGCAUUGAUAACAUAACAUGAAACAACGGUUACAAACAGACAUUAGUUUUCCAAUAUCUCGCACAUAAUCUUCAUCUUCACAACUUCUUCAACUUCCGAGAGAGGUUCCUUCUUUGCAAUAAGAGUAUCUAACAGCGCCAUCUGCGUGACCCUAUUCUUCAUCUUCAUUUCCUUAUCCUUUAUAGUCCACAAACCCUGGAACUCAUUGACAGCCUUACCUUCCACAAACCCUGUCUUUUUAGCUUUGGCCUUUGAGGCUUUAACUCCAAGAGGUCGGGUUAUGGUUUCAACAGCUUCGGUGGCAUUGUUCCCAUCUACAUUCGGACUUGUAGCUGGUGCACCAUCCUCAGUUCUUCUCCGUUUGCUGUUUCCAUCGGUUUUAGUGGUUGAGAUUUCACACCACUUCUGGUCAUUCUUCAACUCUUUCCAAGCAUGCUCCAAGGUGAAUCUUUUCUUGUGGUCACUGUAGAAGAUUGCAUGAGCUUGUUUCAGAACAUCAACCUCGUUUUGACCACUUCCUUUAGCUCGUGUAGCUGCCUCAUAAGCUCCACAAAAUUUACACACAAGAUCGUUGAUCUUGUGCCAACGCUGUUUGCAUUGCCCUGCCCCUCGGGAAUCACCUCCUGGACCCUUCUGACUAGCCGCAUAAUAGAGUGCAACCCUAGACCAAAACGCAUCCAACUUCUGCUCAUUGCCCACAACUGGGUCUUUACUCGUGUUCAGCCACGAGCUGAUGAGCAGAAUGUCAUCUGCGGGAGUCCAUGUUCUUCUCUCUCGAGCUUUUGCUGUCUGCUUGCUCGUGCCUUCAUCGAUGAAACCUUCUUGAGUGCCAGCCUGUGUUGAAUAUGCUGGGAGAUUGAGUGAAGGAAAGGGAUUAGGGUAUGGUGAGCCACCAUCUUCUUGACUGUGCAAGAGCUCAACGAAAUUUGAGGUUUGGGAAAAGGGAUACGUUGAAGACAUAUCCCCUAAGGUUAAGAGAUGAGAAGAGAUGUCUGUUUAUGAGAUGAGAAGAAAGGAAUGAGAAGAGAUGUCUGUUAAGUGAUGAAAAGAAAGGGAAGAUGCAUCGGGUUUAAUAGAGAAGGUGAAAGAGAAGGAGAAAGACAAGAUGCAUCUGUUAAACAGAUGAAAUUAAAGGAAAAGAAGAAGCAUUGAUCACGAGUUAAAUUUUAAAAACAAACACUUAACUCAAGUUCACAACCAUAUUUGAGUUGACAGUUAUCUAACUUCCCCUUUUACACACCAAAAUUCCAUUUAUUACCUAUAAACACUACCAUAACCUAAUGUUAAAAUGCAUUUAUUGCAAACUAAAGGAUAGAGUUUUGAACUGACCUUUAUGCGAAGCUGAUGCUGUGCUUUAGCUUGAUGUCUCUUCUCUCUACUUGCUGUGUCUUCUCUCUUCCUUAAAGCCAAUCAUCA
rnacentral:lncRNA from 1 species